CCCAAACCCUACAGCCCACCCCACCCCAAUCCCUCCAGCCGCCGCUACCCCACCCAUGUUUCUCCUCCACCCCUCUCCCUCCCUCCUCGUCCGCGCGCGCACAUCACACAGCUCUCGCGUGCUCGCCUCCCGGACCAGCUACCGCCGCGCCGCUGGGGCUCGUCCGCCGCGGGUUUCCACGGGGAAGGAGCAGCGACGGGAGUAGGCCCCAGGCGGCGCACACUUCAUGGGAAGGCAAGGAACUAGGGGGUGAUGGGGUCGGAUCUAGUGGUGCUAGGUCGGAGCUCAAUCCCUCGCCUCCCGAACCAGCCGUCGACGCACCGCUGGGGCUUGGGUUUCCAUGGGGAAUCACUACAACAACAGCACUCCUCCCUCCUUCAUCCUCAUCAUCAGAGCCGCCGCACCUCUCCUUCCUCCUCGCUCGCACCCCUGCCGCGGCGCGCAUCCCUCCCCUUUCGAUCUAAUUUCAUUCUUGUUUCACAUGUUGGUUUGGUUGGCAAGAUACGUUGCGGCACCGACUGCAGUAGCCAUGGUUGGUGUUGGUGAUGUCUGUAGGUAUUUUCAUCCUCGCCAGUCACACAUUUCCUAGGUUAUGGGAUUGGAUCUCCCUUUUCUAAGAUUCUUAGCUGAUAAGUAUAUUGUGCGGAAAAGUCUCUACAGAAUGAUGUUGUGCACAUCCAAAUCCAAGCAAUCUGGAUACUCCAUGGGGCAAAGUUGAAGCUUUGUAUCACUUCUCUCCAUGUUUAUUAAUGUUUCUUCAUGUUUGGCAGUGAUAUGGGUUUCCAUGUACUUGAUAUAUGCAUUCCUUAUCUUUAUGUGUUCCAUCUAUGUAUAUAUGUUUCUGCCCAUAAAUGUGUUUAUGAGCCGACUCCAGUUUUUACCGCUUUUCUAUGGCAAUUUGGAAAGGACCCUUCCAUGGUGCUCAGCCACAGUCCGAUUUCGAGGGAGAAUAGGAGACCCCGACGAAAACGAGCGUCCUAGCGGCGAACCCAAGGAUGCUAGUGAUUAUGGCAGGUCCAUGCUCCAGUUCUUCUAUUGGGCUACUCCCCCAAUGGUGAAAAUCCCCUACAGAAUGGUGCUGGAUGUCCUUUUAGAAUCUUUGGGCCUGCCAGUGGCUGAUUAUCGAACCAAAGCAUGCGAGGGUGGUUUGAAGUUACGAAGAACCCCAUUUUCAUUCAGAUAUGCACGCCUUUUUGUCAUGCAAAGUCUUUGCAUUUAGGUUUAUAUUAUUGAUUUGGGUUUAGUUGUUUAGAUCAAAACUGUAAUCUUGCAUGUAGAUUGGACAGAUUAAUUCUCACUUUGAGGACUCCGCUUUGUUCAUCAGAAUGUUUUUUCAAGUGCAUCAAGAACUUUGCUAUGAUGUUUUUCAAGUGCCUUUCCAUGUCUUCUUAUUUUGCUAAUUCAGAGUCGAGUAGAGAUAUUAUACUCCACCAUUUCUUCUGUUGUAAAUAAUUAUCCCUCCUACUUCAUUGUCUUAGUUUUUGUAUAGAUAACACUCACCAAUUCCUUUGUUCUGUCAGGUGUUCGCUCAAUUCAUGUGCUUGGGAUUUGUUUUGAUUGAUGGACCUCAAACCUGGUGCAAUAAUGCAUGAACUUGCCAAAAGGUUCAAAUCGGUAACUCGUGCCAAGGAUUGAGUCAUGGCUUUUGUAUGCGUCCCUAUCACUAUCACUCAUGCUUUUGUUUUCGGUACAGAUUUGUAAAUGGACACUCUGUUUAUCAGGGUCGUUUCAGUUUUCAAGUGUCAUCAGUGGUACAUGGAUGGAUGGUGUCGUCAUUGCUCCGCUGCCCCAUGUUUUGGUUGUUUUGGUCCACGGCCGAGGCAAGAAAACCAAAAUCUGCACCAUGCCGAUAUGCUUCAUGACAAAACCACUUGCUUUCAUAUGUAUUGGACUACUGCAUCAUCGUCUUCGUCAAUGGAGGACGAAAUCAGUAGUAUCACCAGUCGGCCAGCGAGGAAGGCUGCUUGGAUCUGCCGCCGUGCCCACCUGCAACUUCCUAGGGCUGUUCGGCCACUUAGAGAACUUCUGGUGUCCAUAAGCAAUCUUAGUUGCUCACUAUGAUAAUUAGAAUGUAUGCAGUUUCCCUCUUUGCGUGUGUGCUUCUGUGUCUUUCCUGCUAUAUUCUCAGUCUAUGGAAUAGUCAUAUUAGGCAUGUAGUUUAUUUUAAUUUCUGUAUAAAAGCUUGGUACCAACAUACAAAUAUGAUUAUUUUUUCACUUUCUCAGUGUGGUAACUAUAUUUUCAACUAAAAAAAUGCUUCCUUA